rnacentral:rRNA from 1 species
AGUAUGUCGUAGGGUAAACGUCGCCUGAGUGGGGAGGGGAUAACUACUAGGAAACGGAGCUAAUACCGCAUAACGUCGCAAGACCAAAGAGGGGGACCUUCGGGCCUCUUGCCAUCGGAUGUGCCCAGAUGGGAUUAGCUAGUAGGUGGGGUAACGGCUCACCUAGGCGACGAUCCCUAGCUGGUCUGAGAGGAUGACCAGCCACACUGGAACUGAGACACGGUCCAG